rnacentral:rRNA from 1 species
CUGACACUGAGGAGCGAAAGCGUGGGGAGCGAACAGGAUUAGAUACCCUGGUAGUCCACGCCGUAAACGGUGGGCGCUAGUUGUGCGAACCUUCCACGGUUUGUGCGACGCAGCUAACGCAUUAAGCGCCCCGCCUGGGGAGUACGAUCGCAAGAUUAAAACUCAAAGGAAUUGACGGGGCCCCGCACAAGCAGCGGAGCAUGCGGCUUAAUUCGACGCAACGCGAAGAACCUUACCAAGGCUUGACAUAUACAGGAAUAUGGCAGAGAUGUCAUAGCCGCAAGGUCUGUAUACAGGUGGUGCAUGGUUGUCGUCAGCUCGUGUCGUGAGAUGUUGGGUUAAGUCCCGCAACGAGCGCAACCCUCGUUCUGUGUUGCCAGCAUUUAGUUGGGGACUCACAGGAGACUGCCGGGGUUAACUCGGAGGAAGGUGGGGAUGACGUCAAAUCAUCAUGCCCCUUAUGUCUUGGGCUGCACGCAUGCUACAAUGGCUGGUACAAACGGCUGCAAUACCGCAAGGUGGAGCGAAUCCGAGAAAGCCAGUCUCAGUUCGGAUUGGGGUCUGCAACUCGACCCCAUGAAGUCGGAGUUGCUAGUAAUCGUAGAUCAGCAACGCUACGGUGAAUACGUUCCCGGGGCUUGUACACACCGCCCGUCACAUCACGAAAGUCGGUAACACC